rnacentral:rRNA from 1 species
UACGUAGGGUGCAAGCGUUAAUCGGAAUUACUGGGCGUAAAGCGUGCGCAGGCGGUUGUGCAAGACAGGUGUGAAAUCCCCGGGCUUAACCUGGGAACUGCACUUGUGACUGCACAGCUGGAGUACGGCAGAGGGGGAUGGAAUUCCGCGUGUAGCAGUGAAAUGCGUAGAUAUGCGGAGGAACGCCGAUGGCGAAGGCAGUCCCCUGGGCCUGUACUGACGCUCAUGCACGAAAGCGUGGGGAGCAAACAGG